AUGUACAUGCCAGACUUGGGAGGUAGGGAGGCAGAACAAGUGUGCAGACAGGAGCUGCCACAUUCUGGAUACUUCUCACCUCCUGGGUCAACCCUGUGUGAGACCCAGCUGCACUCCUGCCCUUGGAGUCCAGGAAGUAGCUCUGUUUUUUAUAAUAAAUUCCCCUUUUCUUGUUCCCAUCAGUCCCAGUGGACAUCUGCUCUUUGCAACUGUGAAUCCUUACAAAUGCCAGCACGCAGCAGGAAGGAGACUCCUGGCAGCCCCUGCUCCCCUGCUCUUCACGGUCUCAGGUUUGCCAAACACCUUCCCUCCCAAGCAUGCUCUCAGCCUGAGAAGGUGAAAUGCAGCGCCUGUGCACACUGCCAGGUCCCAGUACAGAAGCAGAAUGGUGCUGCUCUCCUCCUGUGCUUUGACCUGGGCAGCGGUCACUUGGGUCUUUGGAAAUAUUGUUAUGAAAAAUUCAUGCAUAUCUUGGCUUAUGCAGCAAGCAGCUUCCUCAAAACUGUGUGUGAAUCACAUUUUUAAAAAUUGAGUCUUAUUUCCCCACUGACUGUGGCUAUCUGCGUACACCCUUCCUCUCUGAUUUAUCUCCAGUUGGCAGCAGCACACUAUAACCCUGGCCUCACAUUUCCCUUCUUCCCAAGUGGCUCAUCAGUCAAUCAACAGAAUUUCCACUCAGAGCCCAUUAUGUGUAAGACACUGUUCAUGAUCUGUAGAGAGAGCAGGGGAUGCAUCGCGUGCACCAGGGGAAGCCGCUAUCUGUGCGUCCUCAGUGAAGCCCCAUGAAUGGCCGACCUCUUCUUUAUCUCUUCUGUAAAUUCAGAUUUUCCUCUAUCAGGUUUCCCAAAAGAGGUGCCCUUGUGUACUGAGCAGCCUAUCUAGGUUCCCAGAGAAAUGGGGCAUCAUAAAAGGAUGUUCAGAAACAGAAGCGCCUCUAUAAAUCCUCAAUAAUAGCCACCGCAAUUGUUUGGUACAAUCAUUGAGACCAUUCAUGGUGUGUUCCAAGGCAAAAGCACAAAUAACUCACCAAUCUGUGACCCCUGGCAAAGCACAUGCAAACUAAGAAAAAGUUAAUGAUAGCGUUAAAAACAAGUCAUGUCAGGCCAUCCUAUUUUUCCUUUGUGCCAGCAGAGACUCCCACUACCAAAGGGUCCCAAGUCAACCCUCACAUCUCAGGGAGCUGGCCUUCUCCCAGGCCCUAUCCUGUUGGCUGUGGCACCCAAGAGACAUCAUGGCCUCCCUCAGCAGCUCCUACC
rnacentral:lncRNA from 1 species